rnacentral:misc_RNA from 1 species
UCGUCAUCGAAGUUCAGAAACCCUGUAUCAUUUCCAGCGGCUGAAUAAUGUAGAUCAUUUAGGUCACCCAGAUUGCCAUUCGUAAGAUCUGUGCCCAUCAUAUUGUAAGAGAAAUUUUCUUGUUUACAGGGAUAGUCUCCGGCUCCUAUGGGAUCAUCCAGCAAAUGCAUAUUCGUUUCAUCAUAUGAAGCAUCUGUUUUGGGUUGUUCAGUGCCCAUAAUGUUAUCAGCAAAGCUCUGGUUGACAUCAUCUGCCACUAUAUCUUCUACAUUAGUUGCAAUUUCAACUGUAGCACUGUCUUGGGCAGCCUCCAAUAGAACUGCAUCUUCUACCAUAUUCUCAGUUUCAGUUUCAGCUUCAGAAAUAAAGUAGUUGCUUUCUGGCCAGUCACUACUAACUACAAGGUUUUCAUCAUUCAAAUUUUCCAGAGACUUAUCAGCUUGAGCAGCCGGUGCACGAUUGGGAGAUCCAUAUGAUACUUCUGGUAAAAUAAAAUCAGCUUCCCUUCCAGACUCAUUAAAUGGAUCUGUCAGAGGUAGACCUGCCGCGAUAUCACCAUCGCCACCUAAUCCACCACUUUUAGGACACGCCAAUGAUUCUUUGGCGGCAGUGGCAGUAUCUGCUGCAUCAGCACCUGAAAGGUAAGUUACCUGAGAUCCUAUUUCUGCUGUAUUAUCUGAAGGUUCAAGAUGAAAACCAUUGGCCGCUGAUACAUCAGUGACAGUAUCUGGCCGCAAUUGAGAGGCGUCACUAUUUAAACAUUGGUCAUGCUCACCAACUUCCUUGUUCUCAGUUGGAAUAGUAGCCUCAACAGCUCCUAACAUGCUAUCAUCUCUAGCUACAAACCGUUCAUCGCUUCCUUCCUUUCCACUUUCUCUUUCAACAUGUGAUUCAUUGCACACCAUCGCUUGUUGUUCCUCCAAAUUUGUGAUGGGGUUUUCAGCAUACUCAGCAGUUAGCUGUUGACGUUGUUCCUCCAAAUUCGAGAUGGGUUUUUCAGCACACUCAACACUUGGCUGUUGACGUUGUUCCUCCAAAUUCGAGAUGGGUUUUUCAGCACACUCAACACUUG